rnacentral:lncRNA from 1 species
AAAGGAAGUACUGAUGGAGCACACAGAAGAGUGAGUCGACAUCCAGGGGCAGUCUGGAAGACUUCCUAGAGCUGAGCUUCCAGCUGGACUUUCAAGGAGAACAGCUUGGGGUAAAUCCUGUCACCAAGUAGAAACCAGUGCUGUAAGAACAUGGAGGAUGAUCAGUCCAUGGAUCAAAACUGAGAUGCCAGCUCCCAGUUAGGACAAGCCCAGUGUGGAGGACAGAGCUGGGGAUUGCUUCUUGGCCUUUGCGUGGCCCACGUCUACUAAUGCUCCUGGCGGCACACUGCCUUCCCAGCAUCAGGGCACAUGUGCAGCUGUGAUCAGUGAAAAGCCACUCCAACCACCACCCUCAUCUCCAAACAAUAAAGCUUCAUUGGUGAAGGCAUUUGAGAAUUACAGUGGCUUGUUACUCUCACAUCAGUCAUCCCUAUCUUAUUGAAUUUAAGAAGAAGGGAAACUCAACACUGCUCAAGAGCAGUCCCUCUAAAUAUAAAUGUUUACCUCAAGGCAUUGCACUUCUUUCAAAACACUCUCUUCCCAUUCCUGUCCUUGCCAUUUCACUCCCUGUCCACCUCAUGGGAGUUCACCCCCUCUCACUUCCUGCCCAACCCAAGCCUGGUAUGAACAUUUUCUAUAACUAUAUUAGUCUUUAGAUGUCUCUAGCUGUAUUUGUUUUCUUCUCCUACCUUUUUUCUUUUCCUUUCCUACUCUUUCAUGUCAGACUUAAUUAAUCAAUAAACUUUUAUUGAGCAUUUCCUAAGUGCUGGGUUCAAUCAGGGAAUAUAUAGACAAACCCAGGGGCUAGUCCUGGUCCUGAAGCCCUUAU